rnacentral:rRNA from 1 species
CACGUAGUUAGCCGGUCCUUAUUCUUCCGGUACCGUCAUCCACACCUAAUAUUAGUAAGUGCGAUUUCUUUCCGGACAAAAGUGCUUUACAACCCGAAGGCCUUCUUCACACACGCGGCAUUGCUGGAUCAGGGUUGCCCCCAUUGUCCAAAAUUCCCCACUGCUGCCUCCCGUAGGGGUCUGGGCCGUGUCUCAGUCCCAGUGUGGCUGAUCGUCCUCUCAGACCAGCUACUGAUCGUCGCCUUGGUGAGCCUUUACCUCACCAACUAGCUAAUCAGACAUCGGCCGCUCCUAUAGCAUGAGGCCUUGCGGUCCCCCACUUUCACCCUCAGGUCGUAUGCGGUAUUAGCUAAUCUUUCGACUAGUUAUCCCCCACUACAGGGCACGUUCCGAUGUAUUACUCACCCGUUCGCCACUCGCCAUCAAUCUAGCAAGCUAGAUCAUGCUGCCGUUCGACUUGCAUGUGUAAGGCAGUGCCGCCAGCGUUCAAU